UACGGAGGGGGCAAGCGUUGUUCGGAAUUACUGGGCGUAAAGGGCGCGCAGGCGGCUGCUCAAGUCAGGCGUGAAAGGCCUGGGCUCAACCCGGGAAUUGCGCUUGAGACUGGGCUGGCUUGAGUGCGGGAGAGGAUGGUGGAAUUCCCAGUGUAGAGGUGAAAUUCGUAGAUAUUGGGAAGAACACCGGUGGCGAAGGCGGCCUUCUGGACAGUGACUGACGCUGAGACGCGAAAGCGUGGGGAGCAAACAGG
rnacentral:rRNA from 1 species